rnacentral:misc_RNA from 1 species
GUGGUGUUUGGAUCGUCCCUGCCGGUUGGCUCCGUGCCCGUCCACCGAACGGUCGGCGGGCGAUCCGCGUCGGUCUCGCUGGGUGGUAUGGUUCCCCAGAGGCCGGUUCUUGUGCUGCCUACCCCUUCAGGGGAAGCGGGCCGCUCGAUGCAGGCCUCCAUCCCGCGCCCUCCAACGGGCGCAGGAGGACAACGGUGCACCCCCCGCGUUCCACCGAGCCUCCUCGGUCGCGUGGCGCGCGGGGACGUGCGAUGCUCUCGGACCCAGCGAAUGCCGUGGGCGAGGACUCACGUCCCAGUCCCGAUAGAAGCUCCCACAUAAUGCUGACGGCCGCUCCCGUCCCCGACCGCCCCGGCGGCGCGGGGGCGAGGCGCGGCGUCGCGGAGGAAUGCUACCU